GAGACUGAAGAUACAAGUUUGUUUAGCAUUGCCAAACCUUAAAUAAGUAUAUGCUGGAACAUAUUUGUAACAACAAAAAAAAAUCUACCUCAGUUGUCACAGACAUGCAGGCAAUUCACUGGCUCAGAAAUAUUCUUGCACACAAUUUUUUUUACAUGCAAACUAGUUUGAUUUUAGCUUUUUCUUCUUAAUCUGAAAGCCAUUUUAUAGGAAGGAAUGCUAUUAGCAAAUCUCAGUUUGUAAAUUUCUGCAUUUACCUGUGCUUGGGUGCUAUUUCAACAAAAUCUUUAAGUUUUGUUUCAGUGACUGCCUGUAGUUUCUUGAGGCACAAUUCCCUGUAAAGAUGAUGAGGCUUGAUUCACCAUUGUCCUGUGCCAUAUGCAAACCUAAAUAUCAGUGAGGAGAUGAAAGAACCUAGUGGUUCAGAUGGAUUUCACACAUGCAUGUGCUCUUAGACCCUUGGACAUCGAAUGAGACCAUGGGUUGUUAAAGCUAGUAUGGCACCAAUAAAAUGUGAAGAGAGGAAUACACAAGUAAAGCACAGAGGUCUAGUGUGGCUGCAUCAGAAAACCUGAAUGGGUGCUGCUGUGCACGUGGUGCUGUGCAGAGUUAACUGCUGGAUUGUGCCCAGGGAGCCAGCCACUGAAGAGAGCACUGCCACAGAUUGUAACCUUCCUUCAGCAGAGGGGCUAGCUGUGAAUGCUGUGUCCUCCCACCACCACCCUUUCCCGGCCACUCCAGGGGACAGGAGAAAAAAAAAAGAAAGAAGAAAAGAAAAAAAGAAGAAAACGGCCAAAAGCAACAAGAAGAUGAAAAAGUUCGCAAAGAGCUCGAUGCCACCCACUAAGCCCCAACCUACAAAUAAUCAGUGA
rnacentral:lncRNA from 1 species